UACGUAGGGGGCACGCGUUGUCCGGAAUCAUUGGGCGUAAAGCGCGUGUAGGCGGCCCGGUAAGUCCGCUGUGAAAGUCGGGGGCUCAACCCUCGAAUGCCGGUGGAUACUGUCGGGCUAGAGUGCGGGAGAGGCGAGUGGAAUUCCUGGUGUAGCGGUGAAAUGCGCAGAUAUCAGGAGGAACACCAAUUGCGAAGGCAGCUCGCUGGAACGUAACUGACGCUGAGACGCGAAAGCGUGGGGAGCAAACAGG
rnacentral:rRNA from 1 species